GGUUAAGCGACUAAGCGUACACGGUGGAUGCCCUGGCAGUCAGAGGCGAUGAAGGACGUGCUAAUCUGCGAAAAGCGCCGGCGAGGUGAUAUGAACCUUUGACCCGGCGAUGUCCGAAUGGGGAAACCCAGUGCAAUCCGUUGCACUAUCGUUAACUGAAUACAUAGGUUAACGAGGCGAACCGGGGGAACUGAAACAUCUAAGUACCCCGAGGAAAAGAAAUCAACCGAGAUUCCCCCAGUAGCGGCGAGCGAACGGGGAGCAGCCCGGAGUCUGAAUCAGCUUGUGUGUUAGUGGAACGGUCUGGAAAGUCCGACGGUACAGGGUGAUAGUCCCGUACACGAAAGCACACAUGCUGUGAACUCGAAGAGUAGGGCGGGACACGUGGUAUCCUGUCUGAAUAUGGGGGGACCAUCCUCCAAGGCUAAAUACUCCUGACUGACCGAUAGUGAACCAGUACCGUGAGGGAAAGGCGAAAAGAACCCCGGCGAGGGGAGUGAAAAAGAACCUGAAACCGUGUACGUACAAGCAGUGGGAGCCUCUUUAUGGGGUGACUGCGUACCUUUUGUAUAAUGGGUCAGCGACUUAUAUUCUGUAGCAAGGUUAACCGUAUAGGGGAGCCGAAGGGAAACCGAGUCUUAACUGGGCGUUAAGUUGCAGGGUAUAGACCCGAAACCCGGUGAUCUAGCCAUGGGCAGGUUGAAGGUUGGGUAACACUAACUGGAGGACCGAACCGACUAAUGUUGAAAAAUUAGCGGAUGACCUGUGGCUGGGGGUGAAAGGCCAAUCAAACCGGGAGAUAGCUGGUUCUCCCCGAAAGCUAUUUAGGUAGCGCCUCGUGAACUCAUCUUCGGGGGUAGAGCACUGUUUCGGCUAGGGGGCCAUCCCGGCUUACCAACCCGAUGCAAACUACGAAUACCGAAGAAUGUUAUCACGGGAGACACACGGCGGGUGCUAACGUCCGUCGUGAAGAGGGAAACAACCCAGACCGCCAGCUAAGGUCCCAAAGUCAUGGUUAAGUGGGAAACGAUGUGGGAAGGCACAGACAGCCAGGAUGUUGGCUUAGAAGCAGCCAUCAUUUAAAGAAAGCGUAAUAGCUCACUGGUCGAGUCGGCCUGCGCGGAAGAUGUAACGGGGCUAAACCAUGCACCGAAGCUGCGGCAGCGACGCUUAUGCGUUGUUGGGUAGGGGAGCGUUCUGUAAGCCGUUGAAGGUGUCCUGUGAGGGGUGCUGGAGGUAUCAGAAGUGCGAAUGCUGACAUAAGUAACGAUAAAGCGGGUGAAAAGCCCGCUCGCCGGAAGACCAAGGGUUCCUGUCCAACGUUAAUCGGGGCAGGGUGAGUCGACCCCUAAGGCGAGGCCGAAAGGCGUAGUCGAUGGGAAACAGGUUAAUAUUCCUGUACUUGGUGUUACUGCGAAGGGGGGACGGAGAAGGCUAUGUCAGCCGGGCGACGGUUGUCCCGGUUUAAGCAUGUAGGCGGAGGUUCCAGGUAAAUCCGGUACCUUAUUAACGCUGAGGUGUGAUGACGAGGCACUACGGUGCUGAAGUGAUAAAUGCCCUGCUUCCAGGAAAAGCCUCUAAGCAUCAGGUAACACGAAAUCGUACCCCAAACCGACACAGGUGGUCAGGUAGAGAAUACCAAGGCGCUUGAGAGAACUCGGGUGAAGGAACUAGGCAAAAUGGUGCCGUAACUUCGGGAGAAGGCACGCUGAUAUGUAGGUGAAGUCCCUGCGGACGGAGCUGAAAUCAGUCGAAGAUACCAGCUGGCUGCAACUGUUUAUUAAAAACACAGCACUGUGCAAACACGAAAGUGGACGUAUACGGUGUGACGCCUGCCCGGUGCCGGAAGGUUAAUUGAUGGGGUUAGCGGCAACGCGAAGCUCUUGAUCGAAGCCCCGGUAAACGGCGGCCGUAACUAUAACGGUCCUAAGGUAGCGAAAUUCCUUGUCGGGUAAGUUCCGACCUGCACGAAUGGCGUAAUGAUGGCCAGGCUGUCUCCACCCGAGACUCAGUGAAAUUGAACUCGCUGUGAAGAUGCAGUGUACCCGCGGCAAGACGGAAAGACCCCGUGAACCUUUACUAUAGCUUGACACUGAACACUGGUCCUUGAUGUGUAGGAUAGGUGGGAGGCUUUGAAGCGUGGACGCCAGUCUGCGUGGAGCCAACCUUGAAAUACCACCCUUUAAUGGCUGGUGUUCUAACGUAGACCCGUAAUCCGGGUUGCGGACAGUGUCUGGUGGGUAGUUUGACUGGGGCGGUCUCCUCCCAAAGAGUAACGGAGGAGCACGAAGGUUGGCUAAUCCUGGUCGGACAUCAGGAGGUUAGUGCAAUGGCAUAAGCCAGCUUGACUGCGAGCGUGACGGCGCGAGCAGGUGCGAAAGCAGGUCAUAGUGAUCCGGUGGUUCUGAAUGGAAGGGCCAUCGCUCAACGGAUAAAAGGUACUCCGGGGAUAACAGGCUGAUACCGCCCAAGAGUUCAUAUCGACGGCGGUGUUUGGCACCUCGAUGUCGGCUCAUCACAUCCUGGGGCUGAAGUAGGUCCCAAGGGUAUGGCUGUUCGCCAUUUAAAGUGGUACGCGAGCUGGGUUUAGAACGUCGUGAGACAGUUCGGUCCCUAUCUGCCGUGGGCGCUGGAGAAUUGAGGGGGGCUGCUCCUAGUACGAGAGGACCGGAGUGGACGCAUCACUGGUGUUCGGGUUGUCAUGCCAAUGGCACUGCCCGGUAGCUAAAUGCGGAAGAGAUAAGUGCUGAAAGCAUCUAAGCACGAAACUUGCCCCGAGAUGAGUUCUCCCUGAGACUUUAAGUCUCCUGAAGGAACGUUGAAGACGACGACGUUGAUAGGUCGGGUGUGUAAGCGCAGCGAUGCGUUGAGCUAACCGAUACUAAUGAACCGUGAGGCUUAACCUU
rnacentral:rRNA from 1 species